AACGAACGCUGGCGGCAUGCCUAACACAUGCAAGUCGAACGAGACCUUCGGGUCUAGUGGCGCACGGGUGCGUAACGCGUGGGAACCUGCCCUUAGGGUCGGAAUAACUCUCCGAAAGGGGUGCUAAUACCGGAUAAUGUCUUCGGACCAAAGAUUUAUCGCCUUUGGAUGGGCCCGAGUUGGAUUAGCUAGUUGGUAGGGUAAAAGCCUACCAAGGCGACGAUCCAUAGCUGGUCUGAGAGAAUGAUCAGCCACACUGGGACUGAGACACGGCCCAGACUCCUACGGGAGGCAGCAAUGCGGAAUAUUGGACCAUGGGCGAAGGCCUGAUCGAGCAAUGCCGCGUGAGUGAUGAAGGCCUUAGGGUUGUAAAGCUCUUUUACCCGGGAUGAUAAUGACAGUACCGGGAGAAUAAGCUCCGGCUAACUCCGUG
rnacentral:rRNA from 1 species